GCGUCGCUAGAGGGAACGUCUGCCACCGCGUCGCUAGAGGGAACAUCCGCCACCGCGCCACUAGAGGGAACAUCUGCCUCCGUGUCGCUAGAGGAAACAUCUGCCACUGCGUCGCUAGAGGGGACCUCUGCCACCGCGUCGCUAGAGGGAACCUCUGCCACCGCGUCGCUAGAGGGAACAUCUGCCACUGCGUCGCUAGAGGGAACAUCUGCCACCGUGUCGCUAGAGGGAACCUCUGCCACUGCGUCGCUAGAGGGGACCUCUGCCACCGCGUCGCUAGAGGGAACAUCUGCCACCGCGUCGCUAGAGGGAACAUCUGCCACCGCGUCGCUAGAGGGAACAUCUGCCACGCGUCGCUAGAGGGAACAUCUGCCACCGCGUCGCUAGAGGGAACAUCUGCCACCGCGUCGCUAGAGGGAACCUCUGCCACCGCGUCGCUAGAGGGAACCUCUGCCACCGCGUCGCUAGAGGGAACAUCUGCCACCGCGUCGCUAGAGGGAACAACUGCCACUGCGUCGCUAGAGGGAAACAUCUGCCACCGCGUCGCUAGAGGGAACAACUGCCACCGCGUCGCUAGAGGGAACAUCUGCCACUGCGUCGCUAGGGGGAGCAUCUGCCACUGCGUCGCUAGAGGGGACCUCUGCCACCGCGUCGCUAGAGGGAACAAUUGUCACUGCGUCGCUAGAGGGGACAUCUGCCACCCCGCCUUUCCCUCGAACUAAUCACUCACCGGUCUGUCUGGGAAAUUCAUCUCCUCUCCGUCGCCUCCAAUCGCGUUCCUCGCCAGUGCCCA
rnacentral:lncRNA from 1 species